rnacentral:rRNA from 1 species
CAGUAGCCGCGGGAAUACAGAGGGUGCAAGCGUUAAUCGGAAUUACUGGGCGUAAAGCGCGCGUAGGUGGUUUGUUAAGUUGGAUGUGAAAUCCCCGGGCUCAACCUGGGAACUGCAUCCAAAACUGGCAAGCUAGAGUAUGGUAGAGGGUGGUGGAAUUUCCUGUGUAGCGGUGAAAUGCGUAGAUAUAGGAAGGAACACUAGUGGCGAAGGCGACCACCUGGACUGAUACUGACACUGAGGUGCGAAAGCGUGGGGAGCAAACAGGAUUAGAUACCCCGGUAGUCCCUGUCUCUUAUAA